AGCACAGACGGUUUAUUAAGUCUGAUGUGAAAGCCCGGAGCUCAACUCCGGAAUGGCAUUGGAAACUGGUUAACUUGAGUGCAGUAGAGGUAAGUGGAACUCCAUGUGUAGCGGUGGAAUGCGUAGAUAUAUGGAAGAACACCAGUGGCGAAGGCGGCUUACUGGACUGCAACUGACGUUGAGGCUCGAAAGUGUGGGUAGCAAACA
rnacentral:rRNA from 1 species